AAGCAGCGCCGCCUCGUCAUCUCAUCCCCUCCCGUGCUCCUCCCCAAUCCCUGACCUCCACUCCAUCUCCGGUGAGUCGCCGUCGGCCGCGUCCGCUCGACAUGGGGAGCAGGCAUGGAAGAUGCAGACCGAUGUGGGUGGUCUGUCUCCAGCUCAGCUCCGGUUUGGCCGGAAGGACAACGGCCAGCAGCGCAAGGACCUGGCCUCCUCCGUGUUAGCACACUGGCCGACCCUCUUCUUCUUUUUCUAAAGAUCUACACGAUCCGUUUUUACUUGUGCCUGUAAAGUGUUUGAUGAAAAUCCUAGCCAAGAUUAAUGUAUGCAAUAUCUAUGCUCCAUCUAGCUGUUUGCAGUUUUGCAAUUAAGGUCUUAAAAAGUGCUCAACUACCAAUAUUGGAAAGGGAGGAAGAUACGGGCUGGGCAAGGAUUUGGGGUAGCUAACUGUCAGUGCAGUUACACAUAAACCUGCAGAAGUUGCUACUCGAUGGAGUGAAAUUGGCAGGGCAGGGAUUUGGGGGAGCAAACUCCUUUUUUAUCCUGCAGAUAAAUGUAUAAGGCGGUAAGAUGUUGGUGGCUUGCUGGAUAAGAGGCGGGAGCGACAAGCUUUGCGUUUCUGCUCAUCUGUGCAAAGUGCAUAUUAGGCAGUGAGACGUUGGUGAUGAAGACGGCGGUGGAGGAGUUGGGCCGGUCGUCGUCGUCUCCCAAGCCACCACUCCCUACUCCAUCAUUUGCUCAACCCUCACACUUUAAUAUCAUGCCCGGUCACGAGGGGGUCAUACCACAAGAUUUUUGCUACGCCCGUGCCUUGCUCAACCAUGUAGAGGUUGCGCCUCCGCUGCUUUUUCGGCAACUCACUUGUGUGGACAUAAAAAUGCAGAAAGUAUGCAUAGGGACGAAGGUCAAGUAAAUAGCACAGUGGAACUUAACUGGAGUUUUGAUAAAUAGCACGAUAAGCCAUGGACAUGCUACCAUAUUCCCUUUAUUAUUUUGAUGGACUCAGAUUGGUGAUGAAACUGAGAGAGUUGUAAUUCUGUGUGUGAAUAGCUGGGUGGACUUGCCUGCAGAUCUAUCCAAAGUUCAUGGACUCAAGCGCUACUUGCCG